CGGAGGGAAACCGAGUCUUAAUUGGGCGUUAAGUUGCAGGGUAUAGACCCGAAACCCGGUGAUCUAGCCAUGGGCAGGUUGAAGGUUGGGUAACACUAACUGGAGGACCGAACCGACUAAUGUUGAAAAAUUAGCGGAUGACCUGUGGCUGGGGGUGAAAGGCCAAUCAAACCGGGAGAUAGCUGGUUCUCCCCGAAAGCUAUUUAGGUAGCGCCUCGUGAAUUCAUCUCCGGGGGUAGAGCACUGUUUCGGCUAGGGGGCCAUCCCGGCUUACCAACCCGAUGCAAACUGCGAAUACCGGAGAAUGUUAUCACGGGAGACACACGGCGGGUGCUAACGUCCGUCGUGAAGAGGGAAACAACCCAGACCGCCAGCUAAGGUCCCAAAGUCAUGGUUAAGUGGGAAACGAUGUGGGAAGGCCCAGACAGCCAGGAUGUUGGCUUAGAAGCAGCCAUCAUUUAAAGAAAGCGUAAUAGCUCACUGGUCGAGUCGGCCUGCGCGGAAGAUGUAACGGGGCUAAACCAUGCACCGAAGCUGCGGCAGCGACGCUUAUGCGUUGUUGGGUAGGGGAGCGUUCUGUAAGCCUGUGAAGGUGGCCUGUGAGGGUUGCUGGAGGUAUCAGAAGUGCGAAUGCUGACAUAAGUAACGAUAAA
rnacentral:rRNA from 1 species